rnacentral:rRNA from 1 species
GACGAACGCUGGCGGCGUGCUUAACACAUGCAAGUCGAGCGGUAAGGCCCUUUCGGGGGUACGACGAGCGGCGAACGGGUGAGUAACACGUGGGUGACCUGCCCUCAGCUCUGGGAUAAGCCUGGGAAACUGGGUCUAAUACCGGAUAUGACUCCAUGACGCAUGUUGUGGGGUGGAAAGCCUUGUGCGGCUGAGGAUGGGCCCGCGGCCUAUCAGCUUGUUGGUGGGGUGAUGGCCUACCAAGGCGACGACGGGUAGCCGGCCUGAGAGGGCGACCGGCCACACUGGGACUGAGACACGGCCCAGACUCCUACGGGAGGCAGCAGUAAGGAAUAUUCCACAAUGGUCGCAAGACUGAUGGAGCAACGCCGCGUGCGCGACGAAGCCCUUCGGGU